rnacentral:rRNA from 1 species
AUUGAACGCUGGCGGCAUGCCUUACACAUGCAAGUCGAACGGCAGCACGGGUGCUUGCACCUGGUGGCGAGUGGCGAACGGGUGAGUAAUACAUCGGAACGUACCUUAUCGUGGGGGAUAACGCAGCGAAAGCUGUGCUAAUACCGCAUACGCCCUGCGGGGGAAAGCGGGGGAUCGCAAGACCUCCAGCGCAUACAGCGGCCGAUGACUGAUUAGCUUGUUGGUGGGGUAAAAGCCCAACAAGGCGACGAUCAGUAGCUGGUCUGAGAGGACGAUCAGCCACACUGGGACUGAGACACGGCCCAGACUCCUACGGGAGGCAGCAGUGGGGAAUUUUGGAUAAUGGGGGCAACCCUGAUCCAGCAAUGCCGCGUGAGUGAAGAAGGCCUUCGGGUUGUAAAGCUCUUUUGUCAGGGAAGAAACACCGGCUCUAACACAGUCCGGGAAUGACGGUACCUGAAGAAUAAGCACCGGCUAACUACGUGCCAGCCGCCGCGGUAA